rfam:Myotis brandtii contig187057, whole genome shotgun sequence.
GGCAGUUCUCGGGCAACCCGGAAUCAGGCUCCCUCCUCUCUGGUUCCAGGUGGGUCACCCGAGAACCACA